AAUUACUAAUUAUAAUGUAUAAUUGUUAAAUCGAAAAUUGAAUAUAUCGAUACUUUUUAUGGCGCGAAAAGUGGUGGGGAUAACUGCUAAAUCAGUAGUUCUCAUCUAUGUCAUAGAUCAGCAGUCCUUUUCAAAAUUUUUCAUUAUAAAAAAUUUAUAUAAUUUACAAGCUUGUAUAUACUUACCAGAACUUCUUCAAAACGAUCGUAAUUCUCAGGCCUAGUGUUUAGAAGGCUCUCGCCAACUGAAUCCGUGGCAUUGCUCAUCUGGCAGGAACCACGUAUGCCCAAAGCGCUGGACGUAAUAUGCAGCAAGGAUAGCACUGCCAAAAGUCCGGCUGGGGAUAUAAAAACAGAAGGGAAAUGUAUAACGGGAUAUUGAAAAUUAAAAAUCAAUGAAAAUAAAUCUGGAUGUAAUUCCUGGAUCCUGGACACGAAUGAAAAUAAUCUUAAGUGAAAAAUAAUGAUUUUUAAAUCUUAUCCUCAAUAUCAUAUAAUUCUCCUCAAUACAACUUUUACGAGGUAAGUUACUGUCUAUGAGUCGGUGAGUAUCCGCAGGGAGGAGCGACAGCUUUCAGGUGCUGCAUUAGAUUUAUACAGACCCGAACUUGCUUUCGUGAAUCCUUUGGAUGGUGACGUACUCACGAACAAGUUAAAAUAUAUCUUAUCAACGACAAAAAUAGUAUUAUAUUUAUAUAUUAUUUUGAUUUGUUAAUUAGUCUUUAAAAUUUUAAAAUGCAACAAUUGUAUAUCUUAAUUUAAUAUAAUUAAUUAUAUCAAAUUAUAUGUAUCUUUAUACAAUUUGAUUUUUUUUUUAUUCACAAUAAUUAAUUUAUAAAUAAUUUGCAAAUGUAAUGUACUAUGUAAUUCAUAAUUUUUCAAACUACAAGUUUUAUCAUUUUUCUUUGAGAUUACUAAAUUCUAUCAUUUCAUAUAUUUAAAGGUAAAAUCUAUUUCAAAACCGAAGUAAAUGUUUCCACAUGAGAAAAUACAAAAUUUCUCCUAAUUUAAUUAAUUGAAAUAAUAUUCAAAUAUUCUCAAUAAUAUUCUCAAAAUAAUCAAGUUAAAUUAUAUAUUAAAAAUAAUACGUUAAAUAAUUUCAAUGAUAAAAUGAAAUAAAUAAAUAAAUAAAAGAAAUAAUAAUUCCACUAAUGCAUUAUUAAGCUAUGAAUUAGCUGACAAAAGGGUUUCUGUUGUUACUUUUAAUUAAUAAUUUUCAACUUAUAAAUGUUUAAACAACUAGUUUGCCAAGUUACCCGCAACAUAGGACAACCAUAGACUAUACGGUUUCCAUGCCAAAAUACAGGAUAAUGGUAGAUAAAACAAUGCCCUUCGCCAACCCCUUGUUAUCGCCAACACUGCCGACCAGCAACACGAACAAAGAGACUCGUCGUUCCUGAAACAAAAUAUAUACAACGUUUUAUCGAGAUUCCAAUAAACGCAAAAACGUCGACGAAAUCGUGCAAAGUAUUCUCGAACGGAGGAUCACGGAGAAAAAAGUAAGCGGUGGCAAGGAUGGAAAGCUAGACUGGUAAUUACCAGGUUCGAACUUUGUCCCAAUUUCCUCGAUCGCGAGUAAAAUACACCUCCACGUGUAAAGUGGGAAACGAAGAUGGGCAAAGAAAAUAUGCAAGAACCUGAUAUAGAUGUAUAAUAGAAGAGGUUGACGACGAUUGUGAAGCCACCAAGGAGGGUGGUCGUGCUCGAAGUGAAUACGGCGAAAGGUCGAGGUGGAAUAAAAAGGGAGAAAGGAGUUUCCGAAGGGAAAAGACGAUUUUAUUGGCGGACGAACUUCCGACGAUCUAUCUCGGCUCGACACCACUCGUUUCGGGAGUUUAUAUUCUUGUCGACGUUAUCAAAAGGAAUAAAGUCGACGAAUAAACGUCUCUCCCCUCCUCCCUCCCUUUUUUUGUACCUUUCUUAUUACGACCGAUGAAAAUCAGAUGUUUUAUACGAUGGAGGAUUUUCUUCCCUCUUGCUUGUUUGCACUUCGAUGAAAGUACUUGAAGAGAUGAAGGAAGGUAGAAUGAAAAGGAGCUCGCUUUGCUGGUUUGGAAUAAUAGUGUGUGAUUAUUUGAGGAUUUUGUAGGAAGAUUUGUUUUCAAUGAACUGAUUUUUUUCUUCUUUUUCUUCUUCUUUUUUCUUUUUGGAAUAGGAGUUUUGAACGUAGAAAUUAAAAAAGAAGAAAUUGAUUUAUGGAAGAUAUUUGUAGGCGUUUCAUUUUUUAUUUUGACCACGUUAUUGUGUUUAUCUGACUGUGACUGACGUAAACUAUUUUUCUGAAUGUAACUCUCUUAUUUUUCUUAUGAUUGUUUUAUUCUACGUGCUUGGCCAUGAUUGGUCUAUUCUAUCUGUCUGGACGUGACUAGCUUAUUCUAUUUGGUUGGGAGCAACUGGCCCAUUCUACUUGUCUGCUCUAUUCUUCGAUAGUGAUUAUUUUGUUCUAUUUGUCUGAUCACGAUCGGUCUGAUCAUUCUACACAUUUUUUCAGCAUUAAAUAUAUGUAAUAUUUAGUGAUGAUGAUAAUUUAAACGUAUAUUUCUGUAAAAAUCGUGUAAAAUUACGAACGGAAUAUUUAUAAUAAUUUAGGGAUAAGAAAUAUGUAUAGGAAAAGUAUGCUAAAUUUAUUUACCUGACACAAAUCUGUACGAACAAGGUGAUGGCCCAUGUAAUCUCGAGAAAGAAUAUCAAACCAGAUGCUGCUCUGAAAUAGAAUCACAUAAAUUUUUAUUUAACGAGUAGAAGAAAGAAUAUUGUUGCAAUUUGUAUUUAUGUUUCAAAUAGUAGUAAUAAAAUCCAUCUAUUGGUUUCUCUUCCACUGUUCCUUUUAGAAUCAAAAUUUGUAUAAAAAAAAAAAAUAUUAAAA
rnacentral:lncRNA from 1 species